AGUGAGUAAUUAAAUUUCUACUCUCAUAUGUACACAUAUAUGUGCGAGUAUAUAAAUAAAAAAGAAGCAAGAUGAUGAAAAUUAAACAUACAUAUGUUAAGAAUAAAGAUACAACAAUAGACAAUGAGGUCAUGUAUAACCUAAACUUUUUAAUUCACCCACGCUAUUAUACAUUAUUAGACAUGGAAGUAGAUGAUAUGUUAGAUGAAAACAUAUGUUGGAAUGUUUUACAUUUUGUAGAUUAUAUGCAUAUGUAUGAUAAAAACGAAAAACAUGGAUUUUACGACUCUGUUAAAAAGCAUAAUUUAGUUAAUGAAUUAAAUUUUCUUAAAUGCUGUGAACUAUUUAAAAAAACAUAUAAAUAUAAAAUUCCUGCAGUUUUUCAAAAUUUUAAUAAAUUUAAUUUAUUUAAUAAUGACAUAAUUGAUUAUUAUGCGAUCAAUUAUAAAUCUAAAAAAAUGUGGAUUGAUAGGGUCACUAAUAAUACCGUUUCUAUUUCCAGAAAAAAAUGUUUUGUGCUUGACAAUGAAAUGAUAUAUUCUAUGACACCUGAAUAUAUUGCUAAAAAUAUAAAUAACAAUAUACUAUUAUAUAAUAAAAAUAAAAAAGUAAAAACAAACACAUAUUAUGAUAAUACUAAAGUUGAUGACGCAAAUAAUAAUAAGUUCCAUACUGGAAACGAUAUGAACAUAAAAAAAAAUGAAAAUCACAUUAAUAGUAAUAACUAUUCUAAUAUUAAUAAAACACAUAAAUUAAAGAAAGUUGAGAAAGAAAAAAUGCUAAUUUAUUUAGAUGCAUUUGCAGGAGCAGGUGGGAAUACACUUAAUAUGACCAAUAUUUUUUCUAUUGCAUCUGAUAUUAGUUGGACACGAAUAAAAGAAUGUCAACACAAUUGUAGUUUCUAUAACAAAAAUGUAGACUUUAUUGUUUGUGAUUAUUAUAAAAUAGUAAAUGCAUUUAGAAAGAAUAGUAUAGAUGUUAUUUUUAUUAGUGUACCAUGGGGUGGACCAUCAUAUAAGCAUAAAAAAAAAUACCAAUUAAAAUGUGAAAGCGACAAACAUGGAUUAACCAAAGAGUGCAACAAAAAUGGGUCGAUUAGUAAGACUGACCAAUUUUGUGCAUAUUUAUAUGUAAAAGAAGCUUUAAAAUUAACAAAAAAUAUAAUUCUGUAUUUACCAAGAAAUGUUUGUAUGAAUGAUUUGGUAGAUCUAUUUAUUUACUAUAAAAAGUUAACAAGUCGAGGAAAAUCUAAAAAAAGAAAACACAGGAGUAUAAAAAAGAAAGUAAAAUCAGAAAAAUGUAUAAUAAAAAAAAAAAAAAAAAAAAAAAAAAUAAAAGACAUAAAAGGAGAAGCAAAACAAAUUGUAACAUACGCAGAUAAAAAUGAUUCCAAAAAAAUAAUCAACAAAAAAAAAAAAAUAAAAAAUACAGUUAAUACAACAAAUGACAUGUUUAUUGAAUUGUAUAUAAAUAGAAAUAGAUGUAUAUAUAAUUCUGAAAUUUGUUAUAACGGUUUAAUGAAUUUUUAUUAUUUUUUAAAUAAAAAAUUAUACUUAUAUAAUAAUAAAUGUAACAUUAGGAGUUGUAAAAAUCUCUUUAAUAUUAAUAUUGAUGACUGUAAUAACUAUUAUGAUUUUUCUUUUCUAUUAGAAGAAUGUCAGAGUGGCAAUAAAAGUAAAAAAGAGAUAGCUAAAGAACAACCUAGGUCGGAUGACGAAAUGGAAUACUUAAAAAAUGAUAUAAACGACCAGCUUGAAAAAAAAAAUAAUCAUAUGUCCAUACAUAUGGAUGAUAAUAUUAUUAAAAAUGAACAAGUUGUGUAUAAUAAACAAGAUAUACAUGGCGAACAUAACGAACGAAACGUGUGUUACAUGCAAGAUACAUAUAACAAAAAAAACACAAACGAUAAUAUAACUUGGGGGUGGCAUAACACAUGUGUCGUUAUGUACUUAGGUAAAAUAACGUCAUGUCUAAAAAAACACAACAUGAUUAAUUGUAGUAAUAUAUACUAUAUUGAAAAUAAAACAUUAAAAUGUUUAAUCGAGGAGGUAGGAAAUGUUAGUAGUAGUGGUUGUAACAGAACCUGUCCUAAUUUGUCGUUAUAUAGAUUUUUAUUAAAUAAAAAAAAAAAAAAACUGCUCAAAAUUUCACAAGAAGUUACAAAGCAGUGCCUAAAAAAAAUAAACAAAUAUAGGAAAAAAGAAACAUCCUUUUUAUCAUUAAAUUUAAAAAAUAUAUCUCUUUUAAAUCAUUUUAUUAAAAAGAAAUGCAUUGAACUAAUCAAUCAUAUAGUACAUUUGUUUUUUGAUAAUGUCGAAAAUAUGAUUGGUUUUAAACAGUUUAGUUUUCUUAAUAAAUUUUUUAUUCAUAUGAGCCCAAAUUGCAAAGAAAAAAUGUUAACAAAGAAAUUAUAUAAAAAAAAAAAUAUAAAAAACUAUGCAGCAUAUAUUUAUGCUGAUAAUAAUUUAAAAAAAAAAAAAAUUGUUCAAACUAUUAUUCAAAAUUAUUUUAAUAUGAUAAUAAAUAAAGUAAAAGAGGAAUUAAUUUUAUUAUUCGCUAUAUAU
ensembl:lncRNA